AUAUGCCACACGUAUGCUCGGUGGUUCCUGUGCGCCAUCCACCCUUAGCUGGGCACUGGCAGUUACGUUUGCCAGCC
rnacentral:sRNA from 4 species